rnacentral:rRNA from 1 species
ACGCUGGCGGCGUGCCUAAUACAUGCAAGUAGAACGCACAGUUUAUACCGUAGCUUGCUACACCAUAGACUGUGAGUUGCGAACGGGUGAGUAACGCGUAGGUAACCUGCCUGGUAGCGGGGGAUAACUAUUGGAAACGAUAGCUAAUACCGCAUAAUAUUAAUUAUUGCAUGAUAAUUGAUUGAAAGGUGCAAUUGCACCACUACCAGAUGGACCUGCGUUGUAUUAGCUAGUAGGUGAGGUAACGGCUCACCUAGGCGACGAUACAUAGCCGACCUGAGAGGGUGAUCGGCCACACUGGGACUGAGACACGGCCCAGACUCCUACGGGAGGCAGCAGUAGGGAAUCUUCGGCAAUGGACGAAAGUCUGACCGAGCAACGCCGCGUGAGUGAAGAAGGUUUUCGGAUCGUAAAGCUCUGUUGUAAGAGAAGAACGGGUGUGAGAGUGGAAAGUUCACACUGUGACGGUAUCUUACCAGAAAGGGACGGCUAACUACGUGCCAGCAGCCGCGGUAAUACGUAGGUCCCGAGCGUUGUCCGGAUUUAUUGGGCGUAAAGCGAGCGCAGGCGGUUAGAUAAGUCUGAAGUUAAAGGCUGUGGCUUAACCAUAGUACGCUUUGGAAACUGUUUAACUUGAGUGCAGAAGGGGAGAGUGGAAUUCCAUGUGUAGCGGUGAAAUGCGUAGAUAUAUGGAGGAACACCGGUGGCGAAAGCGGCUCUCUGGUCUGUAACUGACGCUGAGGCUCGAAAGCGUGGGGAGCGAACAGGAUAGAUACCCUGGUAGUCCACGCCGUAAACGAUGAGUGCUAGGUGUUAGGCCCUUUCCGGGGCUUAGUGCCGCAGCUAACGCAUUAAGCACUCCGCCUGGGGAGUACGACCGCAAGGUUGAAGCUCAAAGGAAUUGACGGGGGCCCGCACAAGCGGUGG